UGACCGGGAUGAGCNUCAAAUUUGAAAUCUGGCGUCUUUCAGGCGUCCGAGUUGUAAUCUAUAGAGGCGUUUUCCGCGCCGGACCGCGUCCAAGUCUCUUGGAAUAGAGUAUCAAAGAGGGUGACAAUCCCGUACUUGACGCGACAACCGGUGCUCUGUGAUACGUUCUCAACGAGUCGAGUUGUUUGGGAAUGCAGCUCUAAAUGGGUGGUAAAUUCCAUCUAAGGCUAAAUAUUGGCGAGAGACCGAUAGCGAACAAGUACCGUGAGGGAAAGAUGAAAAGCACUUUGGAAAGAGAGUUAAACAGCACGUGAAAUUGUUAAAAGGGAAACGAUUGAAGUCAGUCGUGUGAAAGGUAUUCAGCCGUCUCUGGCGGUGUAUUUGCCUUUCACGGGUCAACAUCAGUUUAGUCCGGUAGAAAAAGGCUGGAGGAAGGUGGCACCCUCGGGUGUGUUAUAGCCUCCUGUCACAUGUGCCGGAUUAGACUGAGGAACGCAGCUUGCAGCAAUGCCGGGGUUCGCCCACGUACAAGCUUAGGAUGUUGACAUAAUGGCUUUAAACGACCCGUCUUGAAACACGG
rnacentral:rRNA from 1 species